UGACAAUUAAAUUCCAAAUAUUUGACUCCUUGAGGCAAGACCUAGGCGUGCUGUUUCCUGUGUCAGUGGAAGCAACAAAAUUAAUGUAUACAUUAUUAGUUGAGUUUAAGAGGAACCACUUGUGGUAUUGAAGUAUGUAAUAUUUGAUAUGCAGUUGUAUAAUCAUAUCUCAUAUUUGGCUCUGCUGUCAUAGUCGUGGUCCAUUGACUGAAAGUUUUGUGUAGUAAACAUAUUUCACAAAGUUUGUGAUUAACUCAGUCUAAUGGUAAGUCAGUGAUAUUUGGUAUGCAGUUGCAUUAGCUUUGGCAAAUUAUUUUCAUCAAGCAUAAAUUUCAGUAAAGGUUUUAUAUGAAUUGUAGUAAUAGUUUUUUAUACGGCCGCAAAAAAUUUUUUGGGAUCGUAUGAUGUCGUCUGUGUCGUCGUCCGAAGACAUAUUUGGUUUCCGGACAAUAACUUUAGUUUAAGUGAAUGGAUCUCUAUGAAAUUUUUUAAGAAGGUUCAAUACCACAAAAGGAAGGUUGGGAUUGAUUUUGGGGGUUAUGGUACCAACAGUUAAGGAAUUAGGGGCCAAAAAGGGGCCAAAAAUAAGCAUUUUUGUAACUUUCAGACAAUAACUUGUGUGUAAGUGUAUGGAUCUCUCUGACAUUGUACCACAAGGUUCCAUAUCACAAAGGGAAGGCUGUAAUUGAUUUUGGGGGUAAUUGCCUCAAAAUUUUAGGAAUUAGGGGCCAAAAAAGGGGCAAAAAACAAGCAUUUUCCUAGUUUCAUGACAAUAACUUGUGUGUAAGUGUUUGGAUAUUUCUGAAAUUGUACUACAAGGUUCCAUAUCACAAAGGGAAAGCUGGAAUUGAGUUUGGGGGUAAUUGCCCGAAACGUUUAGGAAUUGGGGGCCAAAAAGGGGCCAAAAAUAAGCAUUUUUCUAGUUUCCAGACAAUAACUUGUGUUCAAGUGUAUGGAUCUCUCUGAAAUUGUACUGCAAGGUACCAUACCACAAAGGGAAGGCUGGGAUUGAGUUUGGGGGUGAUGAAUCAUAAGGGGGUUCAAAAAAUUUGGGGGGGGGAUUUUUUUUUUUCUUUUUUUUUCUUUUUUUCCUUUUUUUUUUCUUUUAAAAUUUUCCAUUUUAAGUUGGGUUAUUUCUGAUUUAUAUUUAAAAGCAAAUAAUAAUGAUAUGGUAGGAGAUACACACCAAACAGGAUGUGUAAAUUAUUAUAUAAUAAGUAUUGUGCAAUAGCAAGAAAUUUUCAAUUGCACAGUAUUGCACAAUAGCAAGAAAUCUUCAAUUGCACAGUAUUGCGCAAUAGCAAGAAAUCUUCAAUUUAACAGUAUUGCGCAAUAGCAAGAAAUAUCCAAUAGCACAAUAUUGCGCAAUAGCAAGAAAUUGUCAAUUGUACAGUAUUGCGCAAUAGCAAGAAAUAUUCAAUUGCACAGUAUUGUGCAAAAGAAGAUACUUCGUAUAAAUUGCUUAUUUCUUGAUCAAUUUCAAUGGGGUUUUAUUCUUGAAUUCUAGGGGUUCUUUGAUAUGCUGAAUCUAACCGUGUAUUAAGUUUUUGGAUUUUGGGCCCCGUUUUUAAAUUGGUCCACAUUGAGGUCCAAAGGGUCCAAAAUUAAACUUUGUUUGAUUUCAUCAAAAAUUGAAUUAUUGGGGUUCUUUGAUAUGCCGAAUCUAACCGUGUAUUUAGAUUUUUAAUUUUGGGUCCCGUUUUUUAAAUUUGUCUACAUUAAGGUCCAAAGGGUCCAAAAUUAAACUUAGUUUGAUUUUAACAAAAAUUGAAUUCUUAGGGUUCUUUGAUAUGCUGAAUCUAAACAUGUGUUUAGAUUUUUGAUUAUGGGCCCAGUUUUCAAGUUGGUCCAAGUUGGGGUCCAAAAUUAAACUUUGUUUGAUUUCAACAAAAAUUGAAUAUAUGGGGUUCUUUGAUAUGCUGAAUCUAAACAUGUAUUUAGAUUUUAGAUUUUUGGCCCAGUUUUCAAGUUGGUCCAAAUUGGGGCCCAAAAUAAAACUUUGUUUGAUUUCAACAAAAAUUGAAUAUAUGGGGUUCUUUGAUAUGCUGAAUCUUACCAUGUAAUUAGAUUUUUUAUUUGUGGGCCCGCUAUCAAAUUGGUUCAUAUUGAGGUCAAAAGGGUCCAAAAUUAAACUUUGUUUGAUUUCAUCAAAAAUUGAAUUAUUGGGGUUCUUUGAUAUGCCAAAUCUAACCGUGUAUUCAGAUUUUUAAUUUUGGGUCCUGUUUUUUAAAUUGGUCUACAUUAAGGUCCAAAGGGUCCAAAAUUAAACUUAGUUUGAUUUUAACAAAAAUUGAAUUUUUGGGGUUCUUUGAUAUGCUGAAUCUAAACAUGUGUUUAGAUUUUUGAUUAUGGGACCAGUUUUCAAGUUGGUCCAAGUUGGGGUCCAAAAUUAAACUUUGUUUGAUUUCAACAAAAAUUGAAUAUAUGGGGUUCUUUGAUAUGCUGAAUCUAAACAUGUAUUUAGAUUUUAGAUUUUUGGCCCAGUUUUCAAGAUGGUCCAAAUUGGGGUCCAAAAUUAAACUUUGUUUGAUUUCAACAAAAAUUGAAUAUAUGGGGUUCUUUGAUAUGCUGAAUCUUACCAUGUAUUUAGAUUUUUUAUUUGUGGGCCCGCUAUCAAAUUGGUUCAUAUUGAGGUCAAAAGGGUCCAAAAUUAAACUUUGUUUGAUUUCAUCAAAAAUUGAAUUAUUGGGGUUCUUUGAUAUGCCAAAUCUAACUGUGUUUUUAGAUUUUUAAUUUAGGGUCCCAUUUUUUAAAUUUGUCUACAUUAAGGUCAAAAGGGUCCAAAAUUAAACUUAGUUUGAUUUUUAACAAAAAUUGAAUUUUUAGGGUUCUUUGAUAUGUUGAAUCUUAACAUGUGUUUAGAUUUUUGAUUAUGGGCCCAGUUUUCAAGUUGGUCCAAAUCAGGGUCCAAAAUUAAACUUUGUUUGAUUUCAACAAAAAUUGAAUAUAUGGGGUUCUUUGAUAUGCUGAAUCUAACCAUGUAUUUAGAUUUUUGAUUUUUGGGCCCUGUUAUCAACUUUGUCCAAUUGAGGUCAAAAGGGUCCAAAAUUAAACUUUGUUUGAUUUCAUCAAAAAUUGAAUUCUUGGGGUUCUUUGAUAUGCUGAAUCUAACCAUGUAUUUAGAUUUUUUAUUUGUGGACCCGCUAUCAAAUUGGUUCAUAUUGAGGUCAAAAGGGUCCAAAAUUAAACUUUGUUUGAUUUCAUCAAAAAUUGAAUUAUUGGGGUUCUUUGAUAUGCCAAAUCUAACCGUGUAUUUAGAUUUUUAAUUUUGGGUCCCGUUUUUAAAUUGGUCUACAUUAAGGUCCAAAGGGUCCAAAAUUAAACUUUUGUUUGAUUUCAACAAAAAUUGAAUAUAUGGGGUUCUUUGAUAUGCUGAAUCUAAACAUGUAUUUAGAUUUUAGAUUUUUGGCCCAGUUUUCAAGUUGGUCCAAAUUGGGGUCCAAAAUUAAACUUUGUUUGAUUUCAACAAAAAUUGAAUAUAUGGGGUUCUUUGAUAUGCUGAAUCUAACCAUGUAUUUAGAUUUUUGAUUUUUGGGCCCUGUUAUCAACUUUGUCCAAUUGAGGUCAAAAGGGUCCAAAAUUAAACUUUGUUUGAUUUCAUCAAAAAUUGAAUUCUUGGGGUUCUUUGAUAUGCUGAAUCUAACCAUGUAUUUAGAUUUUUUAUUUGUGGACCCGCUAUCAAAUUGGUUCAUAUUGAGGUCAAAAGGGUCCAAAAUUAAACUUUGUUUGAUUUCAUCAAAAAUUGAAUUAUUGGGGUUCUUUGAUAUGCCAAAUCUAACCGUGUAUUUAGAUUUUUAAUUUUGGGUCCCGUUUUUAAAUUGGUCUACAUUAAGGUCCAAAGGGUCCAAAAUUAAACUUUUGUUUGAUUUCAACAAAAAUUGAAUAUAUGGGGUUCUUUGAUAUGCUGAAUCUGACCAUGUAUUUAGAUUUUUUAUUUGUGGGCCCGCUAUCAAAUUGGUUCAUAUUGAGGUCAAAAGGGUCCAAAAUUAAACUUUGUUUGAUUUCAUCAAAAAUUUAAUUAUUGGGGUUCUUUGAUAUGCCAAAUCUAACCGUGUAUUUAGAUUUUUAAUUUUGGGUCCUGUUUUUUAAAUUGGUCCACAUUAAGGUCCAAAGGGUCCAAAAUUAAACUUAGUUUGAUUUUAACAAAAAUUGAAUUUUUGGGGUUCUUUGAUAUGCUGAAUCUAAACAUGUGUUUAGAUUUUUGAUUAUGGGACCAGUUUUCAAGUUGGUCCAAGUUGGGGUCCAAAAUUAAAACUUUGUUUGAUUUCAACAAAAAUUGAAUAUAUGGGGUUCUUUGAUAUGCUGAAUCUAAACAUGUAUUUAGAUUUUAGAUUUUUGGCCCAGUUUUCAAGUUGGUCCAAAUUGGGGUCCAAAAUUAAACUUUGUUUGAUUUCAACAAAAAUUGAAUAUAUGGGGUUCUUUGAUAUGCUGAAUCUUACCAUGUAUUUAGAUUUUUUAUUUUGUGGGCCCGCUAUCAAAUUGGUUCAUAUUGAGGUCAAAAGGGUCCAAAAUUAAACUUUGUUUGAUUUCAUCAAAAAUUGAAUUAUUGGGGUUCUUUGAUAUACCAAAUCUAACCGUGUUUUUAGAUUUUUAAUUUUGGGUCCCGUUUUUUAAAUUGGUCUACAUUAAGGUCCAAAGGGUCCAAAAUUAAACUUAGUUUGAUUUUAACAAAAAUUGAAUUCUUGGGGUACUUUGAUAUGCUGAAUCUAAACAUGUGUUUAGAUUUUUGAUUAUGGGACCAGUUUUCAAGUUUGUCCAAGUUGGGGUCCAAAAUUAAACUUUGUUUGAUUUCAACAAAAAUUGAAUAUAUGGGGUUCUUUGAUAUGCUGAAUCUAGUCAUGUAUUUUGAUUUUGGACAUUGGACCAUAAUAGGUAAAUUAAAAAAAAUGAAGUUCUUAGACCACAUUCUUUCUGUGUCAGAAACCUAUGCUGUGUCAAAUAUUUAAUCACAAUCCAAAUUCAGAGCUGUAUCAAGCUUGAAUGUUGUGUCCAUACUUGCCCCAACUGUUCAGGGUUCGACCUCUGCGGUCGUAUCAAGCUGCGCCCAGCGAAGCAUUUUAUUUUAAUCUUGUUAAAAUUUAUUUCAUCACAAGCUGUAUAUGAAUGGUAGCAAUAAUUGUGGUUCUGUUUUUGACCAUUUAAUAUAUACCAAAAUAUUUGUUCUAAUUUUACUGCAUUUUCAAUCGUACUACUAAAAUGGAAAAGAAUUGAAGUACCCCCUUAAUUAUAGGAAAGAAAUUAAAUUAUGUUUUAUAAAAUUAUCCAAAGGAGUAAACUCUCCUGUUCAAAUGAAUACAGUUUAUUAUUGAUAAUUUAUAAUUUCGUCUUAUCAAAAACAUAGUAAUAGGAGAAAUAUGACGAAAUUCACUAAACAAAACUAGAUAAUGACAAUCUGACUAUAAACUCGAAGAUAUUAUCAAUGAUUUUAAACUGUUAAGAAGUUAUAUAGAGUGAAAGCACAUACCAGGUAUACUGAUGAUGAUUUUAUUUCAAGGGACGUAAUUCUGAUUCCUGAUUGUAAUUUGAAAUCUGAAUGGUAUACAAAUUGUAUUUGAAAUAAAGUAAAAAAAAUUCAAAAUCUAAAUGUAGAAUAAUUAUAACAAAAUUCACAGUUCUCUAAUAAUUCGAACCCUUGUGUGUAUGUUUUAAGACCUUCAAAUUUCUGGCAUUCAUAUAAAAGAUCAGAAGGUAAAUUGUGCAAAUCUGGCUCAAUUUGAGAUCUUUUCAGUAAUAUUUUAGUAUGAGUAAAACACUUUCUAAGAACUCUGGAACUUGCAGUUAAAAUCAUGAAAAUGAAAGCAGUACAAAUGUAGGCAUACUUAUGAUGAUUCUAUUCAAGGGACGUAAUUCUGAUAACUGAUUGUACUUUGAAUUCUGAAAUGGUAUGCUGUA